rnacentral:rRNA from 1 species
UACGAAGGGUGCAAGCGUUAAUCGGAAUUACUGGGCGUAAAGGGUGCGUAGGCGGUUGUUUAAGUCUGUCGUGAAAUCCCCGGGCUCAACCUGGGAAUGGCGAUGGAUACUGGGCAGCUAGAGUGUGUCAGAGGAUGGUGGAAUUCCCGGUGUAGCGGUGAAAUGCGUAGAGAUCGGGAGGAACAUCAGUGGCGAAGGCGGCCAUCUGGGACAACACUGACGCUGAAGCACGAAAGCGUGGGGAGCAAAUGGG